GACGAACGCUGGCGGCGUGCCUAAUACAUGCAAGUCGAACGCAGUGGGGACGGGUGAGUAACACGUGGGUAACCUCCCAUCAGAGGGGAUAACACUUGGAAACAGGUGCUAAACUGAUACUGAUGGAUGGACCCGCAGUGCAUUAGCUAGUUGGUGAGGUAACGGCUCACCAAGGCCACGAUGCAUAGCCGGCCUGAGAGGGUGAUCGGACACACUGGGACUGAGACACGGCCCAGACUCCGACGGGAGGCAGCAGUAGGGAAUAUUGGGCAAUGGACGAAAGUCUGACCGAGCAACGCCGCGUGAGUGAAGAAGGUUUUCGGGUCGUAAAGCUCUGUUGGUAGAGAAGCGGUAUCUAACCAGGAAGCCACGGCUAACUACGUGCCAGCAGCCGCGGUAAUUC
rnacentral:rRNA from 1 species